ACUACGGGCGGCAGCAGUGAGGAAUAUUGGUCAAUGGACGAGAGUCUGAACCAGCCAAGUAGCGUGCAGGAUGACUGCCCUAUGGGUUGUAAACUUCUUUUAUACAGGAAUAAAACGAGGCACGUGUGCCUUUUUGCAUGUACUUUAUGAAUAAGGAUCGGCUAACUCCGUGCCAGCAGCCGCGGUAAUACGGAGGAUCCGAGCGUUAUCCGGAUUUAUUGGGUUUAAAGGGGGCGUAGAUGGGUUGAUAAGUUAGUUGUGAAAGUUUGCGGCUCAACCGCAAAAUUGCAAUUGAUACUGGCAGGCUAGAGUACAGUUGAGGUAAGCGGAAUGCGUGGUGUAGCGGUGAAAUGCUUAGAGAUCACGAAGAACCCCGAUUGCGAAGGCAGCUUACUAAGCUGUGACUGACAUUGAGGCACGAAAGUGUGGGUAUCAAACAGGAUUAGAUACCCCAGUAGUC
rnacentral:rRNA from 1 species